rnacentral:rRNA from 1 species
GAUGAACGCUGGCGGCGUGCUUAACACAUGCAAGUCGAACGAAGCAUUUAGGACAGAUUACUUCGGUUUGAAGUUCUUUAUGACUGAGUGGCGGACGGGUGAGUAACGCGUGGGUAACCUGCCUUGUACUGGGGGAUAGCAGCUGGAAACGGCUGGUAAUACCGCAUAAGCGCACAAUGUUGCAUGACAUGGUGUGAAAAACUCCGGUGGUAUAAGAUGGACCCGCGUCUGAUUAGCUAGUUGGUGAGAUAACAGCCCACCAAGGCGACGAUCAGUAGCCGACCUGAGAGGGUGACCGGCCACAUUGGGACUGAGACACGGCCCAGACUCCUACGGGAGGCAGCAGUGGGGAAUAUUGCACAAUGGAGGAAACUCUGAUGCAGCGACGCCGCGUGAGUGAAGAAGUAAUUCAUUAUGUAAAGCUCUAUCAGCAGGGAAGAUAGUGACGGUACCUGACUAAGAAGCUCCGGCUAAAUACGUG